rnacentral:rRNA from 1 species
CGAGCGAACAGAUAAGGAGCUUGCUCCUUUGACGUUAGCGGCGGACGGGUGAGUAACACGUGGAUAACCUACCUAUAAGACUGGGAUAACUUCGGGAAACCGGAGCUAAUACCGGAUAACAUAUUGAACCGCAUGGUUCAAUAGUGAAAGGCGGCUUUGCUGUCACUUAUAGAUGGAUCCGCGCCGUAUUAGCUAGUUGGUAAGGUAACGGCUUACCAAGGCAACGAUACGUAGCCGACCUGAGAGGGUGAUCGGCCACACUGGAACUGAGACACGGUCCAGACUCCUACGGGAGGCAGCAGUAGGGAAUCUUCCGCAAUGGGCGAAAGCCUGACGGAGCAACGCCGCGUGAGUGAUGAAGGUCUUCGGAUCGUAAAACUCUGUUAUCAGGGAAGAACAAAUGUGUAAGUAACUGUGCACAUCUUGACGGUACCUGAUCAGAAAGCCACGGCUAACUACGUGCCAGCAGCCGCGGUAAUACGUAGGUGGCAAGCGUUAUCCGGAAUUAUUGGGCGUAAAGCGCGCGUAGGCGGUUUUUUAAGUCUGAUGUGAAAGCCCACGGCUCAACCGUGGAGGGUCAUUGGAAACUGGAAAACUUGAGUGCAGAAGAGGAAAGUGGAAUUCCAUGUGUAGCGGUGAAAUGCGCAGAGAUAUGGAGGAACACCAGUGGCGAAGGCGACUUUCUGGUCUGUAACUGACGCUGAUGUGCGAAAGCGUGGGGAUCAAACAGGAUUAGAUACCCUGGUAGUCCACGCCGUAAACGAUGAGUGCUAAGUGUUAGGGGGUUUCCGCCCCUUAGUGCUGCAGCUAACGCAUUAAGCACUCCGCCUGGGGAGUACGACCGCAAGGUUGAAACUCAAAGGAAUUGACGGGGACCCGCACAAGCGG